rnacentral:rRNA from 1 species
UACGAAGGGGGCUAGCGUUGUUCGGAAUUACUGGGCGUAAAGCGCACGUAGGCGGAUUGUUAAGUCAGGGGUGAAAUCCUGGAGCUCAACUCCAGAACUGCCUUUGAUACUGGACGAUCUGAGUCGGGAGAGGUGAGUGGAACUGCGAGUGUAGAGGUGAAAUUCGUAGAUAUUCGCAAGAACACCAGUGGCGAAGGCGGCUCACUGGCC